AGUCACAUUUGUCUUGUCUGCAGAUUUAUCUCCUUUGGGAUUUACUUUGCAAUCAGCUUUGAAGCCACAGUGAAUGUGGCAAAGGGAAGUCCCAACGGUCCAAACAGGAAGUCAUCGUCAACACCUGGCAUUACAAAUUCUGACCCUCCCCUAAUUCAUCCGAGCAUCCAGAUCACACUGCCAAAAGCGUCCAGGCCGUGUCCACAGUCACCAGCCGAGAGUCUGACACAAACCACCAACCCCCCUCCAGCCCCUGUCUCCACCCAUCACACCCUCCAAUUUCAGGACUGCAUCCCAAGCCUGGCAUUCCAUCUGUGCAGCUCUGCAUCUCCUUACCGUUCUGCCUGUCCAUCCCAAAAAGCACACAGAGAGGUGACAGUAUGAGCCAAAACAGCUCGUCAUGCGUACACACACAUCCAAACCAGCUCUGCAUGUGAAAACUAAUCUAAUAUUACAGGACAAACCUUUAACAAGCUAAACAUACAUACAUAUUAUUACAACUCUCUACUUCUAAUUGCUCUUGGUUACAUAUAAUUGUAUGUAUAAUUGUAUGCAUGUCAUUGCAGUGCAAUUGCAUCAUGAUGCUGUGACAAGGUUUGCCUUCAGAAUUUAGAAAGCUUAAUGUAAUCCUUUCAUCACUAUUGAACUUGAUGUGUUUUGUUUGUUUGUUUGUUUUUUAGUCAAAAUUCCUUCAUCUGAUAGUAAUUGAAUACUGUUGUGCACACUUUUGAAAGAAGUUAAUGCCAGUUCAAUUAAAGCCUUGUGAAUUCAAAGUUUCAUGGUUUAUAGAUUUACACAGAGAGACAUAUAAUCGUAUAAUGAUAUGAUUGAUACAUAGACAGAAUGACAGAUGUAAAGAAACUAAAAAUUCUCUAAAAAAUGUUUGGAAAAAAAGAAAAGAAAGAAAAACAUCCACCUGGAUAUAAGUAUGUACAAAUAUACAAUACAAGAUUUAAAGACUUGUUUUAUUGAUUUCGAAAAAGGGCAAUAUUGUGUGCAUAAUGAUCACUGAUCUCGCUGCUGAUAUUUUACCAUAAUUAUACUUGCAUUGAUUAAAGCUAAUUGGACACCAAUUAGCAUUUUCAGUUUUAUUUCUGCACUCAAAAUGCCUAAAUGAAAAAACAGCACUUCACAACAUGUUAGAAAGGGAAUUACAUUACAGACAUUAGAGGUCAAUCCUUGGGUUACUUUAGUGGAUAAAUGUUUACAGCAAAUAAAUGACAACCGCAUAAAUAAAAGUGGAGAGGAAAUGACACUGUGUAAUGCAGACACUGAUCUGUGGCAGCAGAACUAAUUUCAAAUAUGUCAAGCUUGAAAUUACUACACAGACUCUGCCAAAAAUAUGGAUGUUUGUUUACAAUCCAUAUCAGUGGGGGAUAUCUAGGUUUAGUGAGUAAAUACAGGGGUUGGGAUGAGGCAUGUUAAUUAGUACUUGAGACUUGUGUGCCUUCGCAAAUGACUCACAAGGCUUGAUAAAACAACUCUGGAUAACAGCAGCAACGUGGAGAAUUCUAAUGUGUUCAAUAGCAAGUUUGCAGGAAUUACUAUCACAAGUUGUUCCCAUCCCCACCUGUCUGGAGACUCAUAACAGACUCCAAAAUUGCUGAUUUUGUGAUAUAAUUUGUGUGCUUGAAUAAUCUGAAUGGUGGUUUGCUGCUGCCUGGCUAAAACUUAUCUAACUCCUUUAACAGCAGUUUAAGUGCUUCGGAAGCAACUGUGACACACUGUAAUAUAGGACAAGUACUUUUGGACACCUUUGACCCAGAAGUCAAACAUUAUAGUUGUCUUAUGCAAACUUUUAGCUAGAAUCAACUCGCAGUAGCAAAAAGGUUUUAAAUUCCAACAUAAGUGCUUUGCAUCUCAUUUGAGAAGAUCUCUUGUUAAAUGUCAAUGCAUGCAGACGUGACCCCUCAGGGUCUCAUAGAUAUUUUCAAACUCUUUUGAUGCAAAGUUUCAAAAAAUCCUCUAGCUGAUAAGCAUUUGGAAAAUGUUGUAAAUUUGGAGCUAAAUAAAAACAACCAAAUAUAACUGACUGUUGGAAAUGUACAUGAAUUGGAACAAUGAACGCUCACAUCUAUGGUGUGUAGAUUGUUAAGAUUAAAACUGUCUCUAAGAUAGAAACUAAUCUAUUUACAGGAAUAAACAAAUAAUAUAAUUUUGUUUGCUUCAAGCAAGAUCAAAAUUAGUUGAUUUCUACCACUCCCUGAGAACAAAAACACUUGAACACUAACCAAAUUUACCGGUUGUAAAACACUCGUGACUUUGUGAAGUUCUGGGACUAAUUGGAUGAUUGACCUACAGACAUCAUCCUAUGUUGUUCCUCUCCAUCCUUCUUACCCCCCUCUGUAGUUAUUUACAAAGCUUUUUCUUUAUUUUUUUCUUUUUCACUUUAUCAGUUGGUAUUUUGCUCUUUUAUCCUUCAUGGGGAGCUUGCUGUCAGAAAUGAAAGUUGAGACGGAGUCCUGUUAGCCAAAGAUUGCGUCUUGUUUACUUGGAGGUGUUGACCCCCGUUGGCCGACAGACUGUGCGUUGAGAUUCGAUGGCGUGUGUUCACGGAUGCGCAGCAUGUGUGUGGGUGCAGGAAUGAAAGGGCAGGGCGUUUGGAGGUGUGGGUAGUCUUGCCUCAGCACUUUCCAGGUAAACUUCUGACUCCAACACCCUACAGUCGAGAGAAAGAACGCCCGGAAGAACAUCCAUCCCCCCUCAUCCUCCUCCCAGCUGCAUUCUCUUUGAAAAGCUCCUCCAAAA
ensembl:lncRNA